rnacentral:snRNA from 1 species
GUUUGCUUCAGCUGCACAUAUACUAAAGCUGGAACAACACGAAGAAGAUCGGCAUGGACCCUGAGCAAGGAUGACACACACAUUCAUGAAACGUUCCAUGUUAAA